UUAAACGGCCGCGGUAUUUUGACCGUGCAAAGGUAGCGCAAUCACUUGUCUUUUAAAUGAAGACCUGUAUGAAUGGUGGAACGAGGGCUUAACUGUCUCCCCCCUCUAGUCAAUGAAAUUGAUCUACCCGUGCAGAAGCGGGUGUAUAUAUACGGGACGAGAAGACCCUUAAGAGCUUAAGACAAAAACCAACUAUAUCAAAAGCCCUAAAAAUGAGGCUAAACCAAAUAGUAAUGGUCCCAGUCUUCGGUUGGGGUGACCGCGGGAGAAAAUAAAGCUCCCACGUAGACAGGGGUUAAUCCCUAAAACUAAGAAAGACAUUUCUAAGACGCAGAACAUCUGACUAUCAAGAUCCGGCCCUACGCCGACCAACGAACCAAGUUACCCUAGGGAUAACAGCGCAAUCCCCUUCCAGAGUUCAUAUCGACAAGGGGGUUUACGACCUCGAUGUUGGAUCAGGACAUCCUAAUGGUGCAGCCGCUAUUAAGGGUUCGUUUG
rnacentral:rRNA from 1 species